ensembl:lncRNA
ACAAAUUUCUAAUAACACUUUUAAUAUAUCGUCAUUUAAUUUUAUUGAAACAUGUGAAAGUAACAUAUCAAGUGAAAAAAAAAAAAUGAAUCAUCAAAAAGUAAAAAACUUUAUAAAUGACUUGAAUGUUAAUAGUUCAAACGUUAACGAUUCAAAUGCUAAUGACACCAUGUUUAAUAGUGCCAAAAGCAACAAUGUCAAAAAUAAAAAUUCAAAGAAUGUUUAUAAUAACAAUAAACGAAAUAUAUAUAGUACAGAAGAAAUUCAUUUUAAUAAUACCCACACAAAUAGUAUAAAAUUUAAUUCUAGUGAUAGCUUGUUUGAAAAUUCAAACGUAACGAAUGAAUAUCAAAAGUAUAGAACAUGUAUUUCUAAUAAAGAGUUAAAAAUAAAGGGGGUAAAAAAAGAAGAAAAAAAAACUCAACAUAAAGAAGAAUCGGAAUUACAUACAUUUUCAAAAGGAAAAUGUAGCAAUAUUUAUAAGCACGAAGAGGAAGUUGAAGGCAAACAUAUGGGUGCCUUUGAUGAACAACGUUAUACACAAAGCGAUAAUUUUUCUGAUAAACCUCUAAAUAUAGAACAAAAUAAUAGAAGUAACAUAGAUGAAACACAACAUUCGAUGUGUGAAGACAUUAGUUUAAAAACUAAUGUAAUUUCUAAAAAAGAACAAGAAAAAAAUGCUAAUAAUAAAAAUAACACAUGUAAUAAUGAAGAUGAAAAUGAUAAUGAAGGUUUAAAUAAUUCAAAUUUUUUAUCUACUGAAAAAUUGUAUAAAAAUGAAAAAUUUCAAAAAGAAAAAAAUGACAAAAAAGGUGUUGAUAAUUUAUUGUUAACUAACACGAAAGAGAAUUGUAAAAACAUGAAUAGCAAUAAUGAAGAUAUAUUUGAAGAAAAAGAUUCAGGAUUGAGAUAUUUAAGCACAAAUUCUUUUGGAAAAAAUAAUAAACAUAAUUUAGAAAAAGAAAAAAUAGAUAAAUUAAAAAAAAACACAUAUAAAAAAGAUAUUUUAAAUUAUGAUAAAGAAAAUAUUACUACAACUGAUUCAGAAUAUAAUAUUAGUGAAAAAUUAAAUAUACCUUAUGAAAAAUUUAAAAAUAAAAACAAAUUAUUCUCAAAUUUAGAAAAUAAUAAACAUAAUAAAAAGUUACUAAAUGCCAUAAAUAAUAAAAAUGUUUUAAAUAUUAGGAAAUUUUUAAGAUUUAUGAAAGAAAUUUAUAUUGGAUUUAUAGGAUUACAAUUAAUUUAUUUCAUAACUUAUCUUCUGUUUGGUAACAAUAACAUUUACUUAAUUCAACUUAUUUCCUUAACAUGUACCAUUUUUUCUAUAUUAGAUGCUAAUUACCAUGGCUAUUUAUUAAAUGGAUUAAUUGGUUUGUGUAUAGCCAUUUUUUUAAAUAUAGCUAUUCUAAAAGAUAUAAUUGGUUUCAAAGAUUUACAAACUAACAAUGUACUAAAAAUUAUAACCAUAAUUAAUGUUGUUUUUCUCUAUCUGUUUUCCGCAUUUUCAUUUUUGAAUGCUUAUUAUAUACAUAAAUUACAUUCGUUAGAAAAAAAAAAUAUUAAAUAUAUUAUAAACAAAAUUGAAUCAAAAGCCGGUAGUGAUAUUAUAAAAAA